ensembl:lncRNA
GUUACACAGAAGAAGGAUUUGGUAUAAAACUGAAAAUGUUUUAAUUGUAAAUUAGAAAAACCUAAGAAAUGAGAAAAGAACAUUUAGAGUCAGAAAACAUCUGAAUGAAUAUUAAAAGUUCAUAUUCUUUGAAUCACUGAAUGACUAAAAUGUGAUCCCUCCACUUGGACCCACACAGUUUAAAAAGUUUACAUCUCUGAGCUUUGAAAGACAAGAUGUUGGAAAAAGAACAACGAUGGCGACGUUUUGAGGGUAAAAUGAUGGCUUUAACACUGUGGACACAGCAGCAGUUGAAAGAGAAGUGUUUAAGAUGAAUUUUGGCAGAGUGGCAGAGAGAGCUCGUUAAGCAGGCAGGUGUGAGCCUGGUUGCUAUAGUGACCGCACCCAAUGGCUCCAUACACACGUACACAGACAUGCGCCUCACUUUUGCUGCUUAAAAUGAACAGAAAAGUCAGGCCCAAACAAAUUCUUCCCAAAUGAAAAGUACAUGUCGUAUUGACAAAAUUCUUUCACCGUGAGCGACAGCCAUGUCUAGUCUACCUAAUUCUCAGUUUUCAUGCCUGUGGAGUUUAUU